UUAGAGUCAUUUUACGACUGGCCCAGAAACUCACCCCCGUUCGAUUUCCAAUAAUGUUUUGCUUUAUUUUCAGAACUUGCCGUAAUUUACCUCUUCAGAAAUUUACUUUACUUUAUCUAUAGAGAUGUCUGCAUGUGAUACUCCUCCAGCGCUGACUAAUGGCAAAUCAACAUCUGUAUCCAACACGACGGUGGAGUUUCAAUGUUCAUCAGGUUUCAAGAUGUCUGGAUCAUCUGUUGUUAGCUGCGACAGCACUUCGGGUUGGGGAUCCUUGCCAUCUUGUACAGUGAUUGAAACAAAUAACACUUUUUAUACAUCAUUUGCUCCAGAAUGGUUGUUGAUAUUACUGGGUUUUUUAUUUAGCUUAUUAACAUUAGCUUGUAUUGCUGGUCUUUUAUGGUAUUGCUGUUGUAAACCAUGGGGAACAACCGUUUAUCCGGCAGGUAGUGGUGCCAGAGGUGGCUUAUGUCAGUGUUGUAGAGGAAGUGUUGGUCAAUCACAGUAUGCCAGAAAUAAAAGGAUGCACAAUGCUGAAUAUAAAGCAUCAAAUAGGAGAAGUGAGCGUAACAUAGAGGACAAUGUAACUCAUCAUAACGUUACUACAGCUCGUGUUACAGAUCAUCAACAGAACGAUAUUUAUCAAUUGAAUCAACGUCCUAAAGGUGUUUAUACUACAAGUGAUGGUGUUUUGUUGGUACCAGUACAAUCAUAUGAGCCGAACUCUGGAUAUAUGCCAGGUCCGCCAAACAAAAAGACUCGUACGCAGCCUGUACAUACUUUUCGUUCCAGUAACUCACCAAGUUCGGAAAAACAUACUGUUGAUAAAAGAAACAACAAAGAUUUAGGAAUGUGGAUGCCCCACAAGAAUCCGUACAGAGAAAAUAAUACAAGUACCCAUUGAAAUAACAUAUUAAAUGUUGCGCUUGAGUUAUGAACAACACGACAAAGAGAGUUUAGUAGGGGAAUUUUUAUGAGGAGGACCCAAAUGAAACAAAACUUGAUCACAUAACUUUAGUUUAUGAGGAUGCAUAUUUGACAAUCACCUUGUUAACUAGAAUACUAUAUAC